rnacentral:lncRNA from 1 species
CGGCACGAUUCCCCACGACACAGGGCCGGGUACUGCGCCCCAGAAAGCCCAAAAUGAAACACUGUCUCCUCCAGGGAUUUACGUUCUCCCGGCUGAGGGAUUUAAAAGUAAACUUGCACCGGCAUUAGCAGCUUGGGAUGAGGAAAGGCUGCCCAGAGGCAGCUCAGGAGCUGAGCCUUAAAGGGAAUUAUGGGUCCUAGCCGCUGUCCGAGGGCUAGGUGGAGGGCACUCCAGGUGUGGAGCUAAGACAAUAAUUAAUGAAGGAGUUGCCUUAAUCUGGGGCCGGGGAGAUGGCGAUGUCAAUUAAAAAGCUUCAGCGAUGGCCGACGAGGAUUCCGAGGCGUCCAGCCGUUGCCCGGCUCCGCUACUCGUCCCUGUCUUCCCGCCUCUCCGAAAUUGGCUCAUAAACCCGGCUCGCGCGACGUCUCUAACCGGCAGCCCUUGCGUUAAGAAGGCCCGAUUUCAUAUCCCUCCCUACCUCCGGCUUCCCUGGACUUUCUCAGGAGGAACUCAACUUUAAAACUGAGGAGUUGGAUGAACCAGCCCUUCCUCUUUUCUAACCAUACUCAAGGUCUUUCUGAAAUUCUCUUUCUUCCACUAUAAAAUUAGGGAAUAGGGCUAGGUAACCUCUAGAUUUUCUUUCUGCCCUGAAUCUGUGAUUACAAAGGUUCUGAUUUCCAUUCUCUCAUAACUGAUCCUUAAAAUAACUCUGGAAGACAGAAAUAACAAAAGCUAAUAGAACCUUUUG